AACACCCCAAAUAGAAGAAAACAUUUUCUCAUCAGAUACUAACCAAACACUGGGUCCAAGCUUUGUAAGGAAUUCUUAUAAUGUAACAAAUUUCAAUAACCCACUUUCAAAAUGGACGAAGGAUCUACAAUGACAUUUCUCCAAAUAAUUAUAUAGACAUCCCAUAGACACAUAAAAAUGCUCAUUAUCAUUAGAAUUCAAAGACAUCCAAUCAACCACAGUGCCACGGUCCCAUACAUAAGGAUGGCUAAAAUUAGAAAUGCCUAAUAUACGUGUUGAGGAUGUAGAGACGUCAGGACCCUUGUCUAUGCGUGGGAAUAGAAACAGUCAUGCUGUUUCAGAGACUGCCUGGCAAUUUCUCAGAAGGAUAAGCAUAGAACUCCAACUGCCGUUCCUCAGUGGUUUUCAUUUCAAGAAAAAUGAAAGCAGUUUGAGGAGAGGGUUGACAAGAAUAAAAGCCCGGAUCCCCAAAACCCAUGUAAGAUGCAGAGCUGAUCCAAGUGGUCAUGAGACAGGAAGUGGAGACAAGCAGAUUCGUAGGAGCUUAUGACCAGCUGGCCUGCUGUGUGGAAGAGCUACAGGCCAAACAAAAGUUAGAAGGCACCUAAGUACCGACAGCCAAGGUUGUAGGUACCUAUAUCUUCCACAUACACAAAUGCAUAUUCAUGUACACAAAAAGAGUCAUGAAAACAAUUUCACACAAAACAUACGUGAAUGUUCAUAGCAAUACUCUUAUAGUGGUUGAAAGGAGGAAUAUCAAAUAUCCAUCAACUGAUGAGCUGAUAAAUAAAACACCGUUUGUCUAUACAAUAGAAUAUUAUUGAGCAAUAGAAAGGAGUGAAAUACAUUCUCUAAUGGAGAUGAACCUUGAAACACACAGGAAACACAUCACGAAUACGUGUUUGGGUCCAUGUAUAUGAACUACUCAGAAUAAGCAAGAUUAUUGGGUCCAUACAGCUGGAAGAGGUUGAAGAAAUGUAGGGACUGACUUUAAUGGGUUUAUUGUAUAUUUUGGAUACAAUGAAAAUACCAAGGAUGCUAAAGUAUACUAAAUAUGGAUGAGCUAUACAUGUUUAAGUAGUUGAAUUUUAUAUUGUGUGAAUCAUAUGUUGUUGAAACUGCUCGAAGAACACUUUAGAGAAAAGAAGACUGAAUUUUUGUUUCAACAGACCCUCAGUAGAUGAAAUUUUGGAAUAUGUUCUGUAGGCAGAAGGGAAGCAGCCCAAAGAUGGGAAAGAUGAGAUGUAAGAUGAAAUCACUAGAAAAAAAUCUUAAUGGAAAAUAGAAGAUGCUUAGCAGUGAUGAGAGAUAAGGAACUGAUUAUGAAAUACAUCGGAAAAUGUUAAGUGAGUCUCAGGAAAAACUGUAUAGCCUUAAUAAUGACAACAGAGAAGAAGUUUGAACAUUAGUGAGCCAAAUACCCACCCAUUUCCAGAAGUUUGAAAAGCAAAUGAAUGUGAGGAAAACAGGGGGAAAGGAAUAGUAGAUACCAUCAAAAAAAAAAUCACAGCAGACAGAUGAACAAAGCAAAAGGUGAUUCGAGUGAUUGAAAAAAAUCAUUUAAAUAAAGAGAAGAGAUAUGCAAAUGGAUGGUGGAAAAGUUAAAAUAGAAAGAUACUACAGGCGAAAACAUAACAUUGUAGUUAUAUAUAUACACAUAGCUAUAUAUAUCAUACAUAAGUAUACAUAUAUACAUAUAUAUAUACAUAUAUAUACAUGUACAUAUAUAUAGUUAUAACAUAUAGUUAUAGUGAAAACAACAUUAUCAACAGUGUCAGUAUAAUAGAUUUUAAACUUGAGUUAAACAAAAAUUGAUCAUGUCAAAGUGAAACAGACCAAAACUUACUCAAAAAAAAAUGUGAAAAGCUGAGUGGUCCUGUAGCUCCCCAAAUUGAACCACUGGAUCUUCAGUUAAAACUCUUCCGCAAAGGAAAGGGGGUACAUCAGCAAAGAACUGGGGAAGUAGACUCUCAAGUUUGCAACCCCCCCCACCCCGCCAGUGAAGUGAUGUGCCCAGACUGAGCUCAUCGAUAGCCAAUUCUUCCCACCCAGACUGUGUUCAUCGAUGACCUAUUCUACAUCCCCACCCUAAACCAUAAAAGGACAAUGUACAUCCAUUGGCACUUCUAGACUUAACUGUCAAGCCACAGAAGUGUAAGAAGGGGGCAGGUUAGUGAGCGCCACAAGGUACAGCCAGAGGAAAAAAAUCAAACUCUAAAGAACUUUAGAGGGCAGGUGACCCAAUUUCUUCAGGAAAUGCAUUACAAACAGAAGGAUGGGAGGAAAGAGGACUUUGAAGAUAACAAGAUCCAUUGUGCUUGUGUGGACCUUGAAAAACCUUGAAUUGAACAGCCUAUCACCAAAAUGGAGAACGAUGAAGAGGUAAUUGGGGAAAAUGGAAUAGCCCAGAUGGUGCCUUAGUAGUUAUUACUUUUAACGACUAGGUUAUUGUGGUUAUUCUUCUAAAGGGUUCUAAUACUUUAGAGAUGCCUUUUGAGAUAGGAAUACCAAGAAGGAAAUCAUGAGCCAGGUAUGCUGCUCCACGCCUUUUCUACUGCCUGUACUCGGGAGGUAGAAGUGGGAAGAGCAGCGUUUAAGGCCUGCCUUAUCUAACAAGCAAGUUUAAGGCAAGCCUGGGCAACCUAAUGACACUCUA
rnacentral:lncRNA from 1 species